rnacentral:rRNA from 1 species
AUUGAACGCUGGCGGCAGGCCUAACACAUGCAAGUCGAGCGGAUGAAGGGAGCUUGCUCCUGGAUUCAGCGGCGGACGGGUGAGUAAUGCCUAGGAAUCUGCCUGGUAGUGGGGGAUAACGUCCGGAAACGGGCGCUAAUACCGCAUACGUCCUGAGGGAGAAAGUGGGGGAUCUUCGGACCUCACGCUAUCAGAUGAGCCUAGGUCGGAUUAGCUAGUUGGUGGGGUAAAGGCCUACCAAGGCGACGAUCCGUAACUGGUCUGAGAGGAUGAUCAGUCACAUGGGAAGGGAGACAGGGUCCAGCCUCCGAGGGGAGGCAGCAGGGGGGAUUUUGGGACAGGGGGCGAAACCUUGACCCACCCGUGCGGUGUGUGGGAAGAAGGUCUUCGGAUUUUAAAGCAUUUUGAGGGGGGGGAAAGGGAAGUAAUUUAAUACCUUCUUUUUUGGACGUUACCAAAAAAAUAAGCCCCGGCUAACUUCGUG